UUAAUCACACAACACUAAUCACACAACGGAACAAAAAUCAUCUGUUGUGUGUUCAAGUAAACUCGAUUGUACAACGGUAUUAGUGAUGUUCUGUUGUGUGAAUGUUAACAAAGUGAUAACUUUUUUAUCAGAACUACAUUGCACAACAGAAUUAAGUAUUGUCCGUUGUCUGAGUCUUAAAAAAUUUAGCGGCAGAUUUCCCUCCACUCUGGAGUCUUGGUUGCCUCUUAAAAUCUGAAAUUUGGGCUACUAGGCACAACAGUGCUUGAAAUCUCUGUUGUGUGAUUGAAAAUUGGGAGCCAAAUUUUGAGGAAGCUUGCUUGAAUGUCUUCCACUAGGUACACCUAGUGCAAGCUGUAGAAAUUGGACAACAGAUUUAAGCUAUUCUGUUGUGUGAAGUAGGCACAUAGGCGGCAAAAUUUUGACCCAAAAUGUUGUAGGCGGCAUGUUUCCCUCCAUGUUUUGGCAUUUUGAUUUUAUGUAGUGCAUUCAUACGACAGUUCGUUAGGUUUCUGUUGUGGGAGUAACUUUGAGAAUUUUUUUUCUAGGUAUAAUUGCCACAUCGUGUCCAAAAGAAAAAAAAAAAAAAGAAAACAUACCUUCCGAGUACCUCUCGACACCCUCCAAACUCUCUCUCGACAAAAUGAAACGAAACCCUAAAUCUCAUUCCUCUCUCACAAACCCUAAAGCGGUCGAUUUGGAUCUCUCUCACCAUCCUCUCUCUCUCUCUCUCUCAGCGAAACCCCUCUCUCAUGAAAGCUCUCUCAGUCUCUCGAUCUGCAACCAUGGCCUUUGUCUCAAUCCAUCGCAUUUUUGAACCUUCAGAUUCUAUUCGGGUACCAUAGACUCUUCCCUUAUCCUUCUACAGCCUAUUUUCUAAGCUUCUUUUCUAAAUGGCACCAUUAAAUUAAUUAUUCAUUUUGGUCUCCACUUUCAGAGCCAGCGACCUUCCUAUCCAUAACCAUGGUACCUCUCUCUCUCUCUCUCUGUUUUGAUUGAAAGUUGUUCUUCCAGUUUUCACUAUAAUCUGUGGCAGUAGAGGCUUAAGUUUCUGUUGAGUUAAAGCUAGAAUUUGAUUCGAUUAGUUAAUACAGAGUUGUUUUGAUGAAUUUAGUUCAAAUUGCUUUGGUAUAUGGAAAAGUUGCGUGUUUCUAAGAAAUGGUGAUUUUCUUGUUGCAGACUAAGAGAAAGAAGAAGGCUGGAAUGGCCGGGAAAUAUGGUAAGUUCUAUUAAAUUUAGAGAGACCUAAAUGCUUUUUCUGUUCUAUGUAUUUCGAUGGCUUGUAUUGCUUUUGUGAGUUUGUAUUUAUAGAGACCUAAAUGGAGUUGGAUUCCUAGUCAUUUUCUUGUUGUUUGCCAGAAAUUUGAUGAAGAAGCAUGAUGGUAUGCACAGUCUAGAUUUCUGAAUAUGAGAUGAAUCCUUUUUUUUUUUAAUUAGUUCCUGGUACCAAAUUCUAAUAUGUCAUUGGUUGGAAUAUGCUGGUUCUAUGCAGAUUAUUGAUAGAAGAUGGGUUCUCACUUCUCAAAGGGGCAUCCUUCUUUAAAGAUUGCCGGUAAGCUGAUGGUAUCUUGAAAAACCCAAGAAUGGGAACAACUGUAUAUGUCAUUGAAGAUAUGCAUGUUCCGCUAUCUCAAUGGUGAAACAGAAAGCGACUAACUUCUGGAGGUAAUUAAUUAGAAACUUUUUGUUUUUAUUUAUCAUCCUACUCUAUAUGCACAUGUAGGAUCAUUAAUUGCAGCUUAUAGUGGACAUGAUUGUCCAUUAAGAGCUAAAGACUUGAGCUUCAAAACUAAAUGAAGAGGAGCUGUUUCCAAGUGUAGAAAUAAUUAGAAAAUCUCACAUAACGUUCAGAUAAAGUUGUAUUGACAUUUUCUUCUGUUUUGGUCUUGCUUUCAUAUUUAGGAAGUGCUUACUCGAUGUGCAUCUAGCUUGGUUCUCAAGUGGUACUCACAUUAACAAACCACUUUAGUUUCUAGAAAGGCCGGCUCUUUUAUUUCAUUCCUUUAUUUUCCCUUCUCAGUCUCUCCUCAGAGGCUCAGACUAUUAGCUCUGUUCUCUCUUUUCAGUCUACUUCACUCAUUGAAACUCAAAUUCACUCUCAAAUUUUCAGUCUACGUAUUAUCAAAUUCUCUCUUUUCCACUUUGAAAUGUAAGGAAUCUGGUCUUAGUUCUGCAUGCAAUUAUGAUAGCCACUUUUAAAUCUAAUGUAAAUCAGUUUCACCAUUGGCACUAAUUUGGGAUGUUCAGAUUAUGGAGCUUGACUUGUCGAAGAAGAAUAGCAGAAAUGCAAAGGUCUACUACAAGAGCAGAUGGUGUCAGGUAUUUGUUUCUUUUUCCUGAUAUAAUGAAUUUUUCUGUAGCUUUUCUAUAAUUAUUAUUCAUUUGUUGAAAAUCAAUGUGCUAUUGGGUUUGGUGCAGAAGUCCUCUGCUGGAGAUGGUUCUGUAUGAGCUAACUUACGAUAAGGAUAUUCUUUCCACAUUUCUUCAGGUUCAUAUGUCUUUCCAUUUUCCAAUUCUGGUUUGUUCUGUCUCCGUAUUCGUAUAUAGUCUGCUGCAUAUGUUCCGGACAGUAUGUUUAACUACAAAUCGAACAUGUUUGAUAUGCACAAUCAUUUUGUCAAAUUAAAUUAACUUGGCUCUUUGAUGCAGCAAAUACAUCUAGUUGAUGGAGACAACUGCUGUAUCUUCAAUCAGCAACUGAAACUACUGCUGUAUCCUCUUGCACUCCAUUUUUUUGUUUGCUAGUUUGGAAGAAUGUGAUAGCUGUCAUUAUUUUCUUUGAAAUUGAGAACUCCCCUUGUUUUCUUACUAGAGUUUUAUACAAGUUGAAUUUGUUAAGUUUGGGUAUUGAUUUUGGUGGUUCAGUUUUCAGCAAUUGGUUGGUUAAGAUUGUUCUAUAUUGCUUUUGCCUUGUUAUAUUUUUCUUUAUGGCUGGUUAGCUUUGUUGCAUGUGCUGGUACCAUAGCUUUUCUUUUGGUUGAUUGCACUCCAGGUUUCUUUUCUUCUUUGAAGAUUGGACUUUCAUUGUGGACAUUUUAUUUAUUACAAAGGUAGACCAUAUUAUUAGAGCAGAGAAUAUGAUGGCAGCUCAGGAGAUCAUCAAGCUAUUUGCUGAGCUUAUUUCUAUUCGCAGGUUGAAGUCUGCUGUUCUUCUGUUGAUUACUUCUUCUAAAUAUAUUGCAAAGAAACUAGGGCCUUCUGUGCAAUGAAGGAAGCUGAUCUCCUUCCUGAUGAUCC